GAUGAACGCUAGCUACAGGCUUAACACAUGCAAGUCGCGGGACCGGCGCACGGGUGAGUAACGCGUAUCCAACCUUCCCUUCACCACGGGCUAACCCGGCGAAAGGCGGACUAAUUCCGUCGUGUGCAGGGUGGGGAUGCGUCCGUUUUGCUUGACGGCGGGGUACCGCCCAACCGUGGCUACGAUCGGUAGGGGUUUUGGGAGGAAGGUCCCCCACACUGGAACUGAGACACGGUCCAGACUCCUACGGGAGGCAGCAGUGAGGAAGAUUGGUCAAUGGGCGUAAGCCUGAACCAGCCAAGUAGCGUGCAGGACGACGGCCUAUGGGUUGUAAACUGCUUUUAUGCGGGGAUAGGUACCGCAUGAAUAAGGACCGGCUAAUUCCGUGCCAGCAGCCGCGGUAAUAC
rnacentral:rRNA from 1 species